rnacentral:rRNA from 1 species
UACGUAGGGUGCGAGCGUUAAUCGGAAUUACUGGGCGUAAAGCGUGCGCAGGCGGUUCGCUAAGACCGAUGUGAAAUCCCCGGGCUUAACCUGGGAACUGCAUUGGUGACUGGCGGGCUAGAGUAUGGCAGAGGGGGGUAGAAUUCCACGUGUAGCAGUGAAAUGCGUAGAGAUGUGGAGGAACACCGAUGGCGAAGGCAGCCCCCUGGGCUAGCACUGACGCUCAGGCACGAAAGCGUGGGGAGCAAACAGG